GACGAACGCUGGCGGCGUGCUUAACACAUGCAAGUCGAGCGGUAAGGCCCUUCGGGGUACACGAGCGGCGAACGGGUGAGUAACACGUGGGUGAUCUGCCUCGUACUCUGGGAUAAGCCUGGGAAACUGGGUCUAAUACCGGAUAUGACCACGAAUCGCAUGGUUUGUGGUGGAAAGAUUUAUCGGUGCGAGAUGGGCCCGCGGCCUAUCAGCUUGUUGGUGGGGUAAUGGCCUACCAAGGCGACGACGGGUAGCCGACCUGAGAGGGUGACCGGCCACACUGGGACUGAGACACGGCCCAGACUCCUACGGGAGGCAGCAGUGGGGAAUAUUGCACAAUGGGCGAAAGCCUGAUGCAGCGACGCCGCGUGAGGGAUGACGGCCUUCGGGUUGUAAACCUCUUUCAGCACCGACGAAGCGCAAGUGACGGUAGGUGCAGAAGAAGGACCGGCCAACUACGUGCCAGCAGCCGCGGUAA
rnacentral:rRNA from 1 species